UACGGAGGGUGCGAGCGUUGUCCGGAAUCACUGGGCGUAAAGGGCGCGUAGGCGGCGCGGUAAGCGUGCGGUGAAAGCCCGGGGCUCAACCCCGGGUCGGCCGUGCGGACUGCCGGGCUCGAGCACUGUAGAGGCGGGUGGAAUUCCGGGUGUAGCGGUGGAAUGCGUAGAGAUCCGGAAGAACACCGGUGGCGAAGGCGGCCCGCUGGGCAGUGGCUGACGCUGAGACGCGAAAGCGUGGGGAGCAAACAGG
rnacentral:rRNA from 1 species